rnacentral:rRNA from 1 species
GGAUGGGUCUGCGGCCGAUUAGGUAGUUGGUUAGGUAAUGGCUUACCAAGCCGUUGAUCGGUACGGGUUGUGAGAGCAAGAGCCCGGAGAUGGAACCUGAGACAAGGUUCCAGGCCCUACGGGGUGCAGCAGGCGCGAAACCUCCGCAAUGUGAGAAAUCGCGACGGGGGGAUCCCAAGUGCCAUUCUUAACGGGAUGGCUUUUCAUUAGUGUAAAGAGCUUUUGGAAUAAGAGCUGGGCAAGACCGGUGCCAGCCGCCGCGGUAACACCGGCAGCUCUAGUGGUAGCAGUUUUUAUUGGGCCUAAAGCGUCCGUAGCCGGUUUAAUAAGUCUCUGGUGAAAUCCUGUAGCUUAACUGUGGGAAUUGCUGGAGAUACUAUUAGACUUGAGACCGGGAGAGGUUAGAGGUACUCCCAGGGUAGAGGUGAAAUUCUGUAACCCUGGGAGGACCGCCUGUUGCGAAGGCGUCUAACUGGAACGGUUCUGACGGUGAGGGACGAAAGUUAGGGGCGCGAACCGGAUUAGAUACCCGGGUAGUCCUAACUGUAAACGAUGCGGACUUGGUGUUGGGGUGGCUUUGAGCUGCUCCAGUGCCGAAGGGAAGCUGUUAAGUCCGCCGCCUGGGAAGUACGGUCGCAAGACUGAAACUUAA